rnacentral:rRNA from 1 species
CGGGGCUAAUACCGGAUGCUUGAUUGAACCGCAUGGUUCAAUCAUAAAAGGCGGCUUCGGCUGCCGUUCUCUCAGGAACCGCGGCGCAUUAGCUAGUUGGUGAGGUAACGGCUCACCAAGGCGACGAUGCGUAGCCGACCUGAGAGGGUGAUCGGCCACACUGGGACUGAGACACGGCCCAGACUCCUACGGGAGGCAGCAGUAGGGAAUCUUCCGCAAUGGACGAAAGUCUGACGGAGCAACGCCGCGUGAGUGAUGAAGGUUUUCGGAUCGUAAAGCUCUGUUGUUAGGGAAGAACAAGUACCGUUCGAAUAGGGCGGUACCUUGACUGUUUUUAUCCAGAAAGCCACGGCUAACUACGUGCCACCAGCCGCGGUAAUGCGUAGGUGGCAAGCGUUGUC